rnacentral:rRNA from 1 species
AUUGAACGCUGGCGGCAUGCCUAACACAUGCAAGUCGGGCGGGAGGCGGACGGGUGAGUAACGUAUGGGGACCGCCUGUUGGAGAGGGAUAACUACUGGGAACGGUCGCCAAUACCUUCUACUAUCGGAUAACCCAUAGGGGAUUGUCUUGUAGGUGAGGUAACGGCUCACCAAGGUGACGAUCCCUAGCUGGUCUGAGAGGAGGAUCAGCCACACUGGGACUGAGACACGGCCCAGACUCCUACGGAGGCAGCGGUGGGGAAUAUUGGACAAUGGGCGAAAGCCUGAUGAAGCCAUGCGGGGUGUAUGAAGAAGGUCUUGGGGUUGUAAAGUCCUUUCAGUCGGGAGGCGUUACCGAAAGAGGAAGCAACGGCUAACUCCGUGCCAGCAGCCGCGGUAAUUC